CCAGGGUCGGGGUUCCGAAUGGAUUGGAAUGGCAGAGGGCAACUUCUGGCCCAAAGUCAAGCGCGUACCGGUCGCCCUAGGUCUUCCGCCCAGUUAACGGACUUUUGGGGGCUCCCAUUGAAACUGGCUUCUUCUUCAUCUUUUGUUUAUUCGAAGCGCCAACAAGCUUAUUACAUGGAAAUAGAGUAAAAGAGAACUAUUUAUGGCCAAUGGCCAAAGCUUUAGAUACAAUUUUUCGAGCGGUUUGUACAACAGGCAAGAGCGGCAUCGGCAGCAGCAGAAACAACAAUCGAUGCAAAAACACAAACAAUAUUUCGUUAUGGGUUUCGUCGGGCCUUUUGGACGGCAGGGGCAGUGGCAGAUGGGGGAGGAGCUUAUAAGUUUAUUCCCGGACUUGUAUUUACGACUUGGCCAAGAAAUUGGCUGCUGCUUACAUACACAUAUUUUCCUUUUAGCUGUGAAAUUAUUGUAUUUGCCCCGGAUGCCCGACACCCAAAAAAUUCCAACAUGAGCUAGCCUCCAGCUAUGGUACAUUAUAAUAUAUUGUAUAUGUAUAUACAUAUCUAUCUAUACAUAUAUCGUACGAAUGUGUGUGUUCACUAAAAAUCUCUUGUGCCGCCUGAGGCUAUUCGAAUUUUACCUAAAGCCCACACCCAUGGCCAUUCUGCAUGUAUCUGAGACAGUUUGCAAUCAGAGAGAGCGAUUAGACCAAGAGAUUAGUAGAUUACUUGUAGAAUCGUUAAGACAAAAUGUAUAGUUAUCGAAAUAAAGACAGAGACCAGUCACCGUUAAGUGGCGGCCGAAACUGAGAUAAACGAGAUAAGAAAAAACAGAGUGCAUCUCUCUCUCUUUUUAAAUCUUCUCUAAAAUGCAAUAAGAAGAUCAAAAUAAAGACACAGAAGCUACGCAGCAAAGUAGACUUAAGCCGACUUAUUUUCAUUCCGCAUUUUAAUGAACCGCUUGAUAUGUCUAACUAUUCAUAGCAGCAGCUGUCCUGCUUCCUUUGAAUUAAAUGUCAAAUGAGUCAAAGUACAUACAUAUGUACAUAUGUACGUAUAUAAGCAAAUUUUCCCAUAGACUAGACAUUAUUCCCACCAGUAAAGGUUAGCGUUGCUCAUUUGGUCAGUUUCCAGCUAGAUUUUCUCUCCUUUUUUUUGUUUUUCCUAUGGUGUAUUUUUUGGUUUGUUAAACAUUAAAUUAUUGCUUUUUGUAGGCUUUAGUAUACAUAGCAACUGCUGGAUCAUCCUCCCCUGUUUCAUCUUUCAAUAUGGAAAAAGCAUACAAUCAACGGUCUGCAAUGAAAGUAAAUGUAUGCCGAAAAUGAAGAAGGAAUGUACAGACGUUCGGAGGAAUAAAAGGAGAAGAAAUGCGAAGCAAAAAAUCGAAAUGUAGGCGUGUCUCCCCAUUGCCGUGUUAACAGCACAUUGACUUGCCUGUGAAAUAAAAUUUAUUACAGGGGGCUGGGCGAGAAAAAAAUAAACAUUCCAUACAGUUACAGUUACGUUUACAGAUACAGCUACAGAAUUGUGCGUGAGUUUGCUGUGUGUCGCUGUCGCUGGCGAUGUUAAGGACGUGUGAAAAUCUGCUUUUUCAUGUUGCAAUGAAUACGUCAGCAGUCGGCAGAAAAGGCAGCCACUAGGGCCGCCCUCAAUAUGGUUUAUUAAAGACACACCCUCUCCCGCCCCCAACAGGUACCCUCCCGCCCAUCUGGCUGCCAAUCAAUGAAAAAGCGACCCAAAAGCGACCGACCCCCGCCCCCACAAAACCCUUAACUGCAGAAUUAUGUAAAUGAUUUCAUUUAUAGAUGAAAGAUUUGAUUGUCUUCUUUCCCUCCUGCAACCCAUUCCAGAAAGACAAUCAAAUACAUAUGUAUCUUCGAUUUGAGAGGUUUGUGUGCAUAUAAAAAUCUGAAACGAAUCUGUAGAUAGAGAGCGGCUGAGGGACAUCAUGAAUAAUAAGCAAACGUUGAUGGUUCAUGGCACUUUGGCCACGUAGACAGAGAAAGAGAGAGAGAAAGAACGGGGAAAGGAAUGAGAAUGUGCUACAUAAUUUAAAUCACUGGCUGAAAUUUGCAUAAACUGCGUCAAAUGGCAGCGCAAAUUUCGUUAAGACAAUGGCCCAAAACGUGGCUACUGCUCCACACCGUUCCGUUCAUUCGGGGUACUCCUGCUCCUGCUAUUGUCGGUGUUUUUGCUCAACCUGCUACUACUGCUCCUGCCCCUACUUCCGCUACUGCUGCCAUUCCAGCAAGACUGCCAUUAAUUUAACCAUUAUGGGGUUUACUGCGCUUUCACUUUCAUGUUAUUUGAUACUUUUAAUGCUGCCUGGGGCCCCCUCCCCCUGAAACUCGCAGUCUCCUGUUCCUGUUGCGAGGCCAUUGAAAACAUAUGCGCAAAGCCUUUGAGCUUGUCAGCAUAAUUUUCACAGUAACCGAAUGGGGCCGACGAGGACGCCGGACGUACAGGACGCAUUUUGUAAGUAAUUAAAGCAGCAAAGUUUUUGAUAGCACAACGAGCAGCAGACAGGCAGGUCAGCAGUAUAAAAACUCAAGCCCUAACAAGCUGCCAAAUUAGGGCGUGGCACUUAAAGCCCAGGAAUUUUUUGUGUUUUUUUUUUUUUUUUUUUUGGUAUCCUAAUUACGGAGGGCAGCAGUAGAUCAAGUUGAAGCGAUUUAAUGCAUAAAUUAAUGGGUUCAUUUUGUAAAUUAUUCGUUUGAAGACGAACGAGCGAACGUGAGCAUUCCCUUCAAUUUCCUUUCCAGGAAAUCAUUUUCUUCUAUUACUUUGUCCAGAAAUAUCAAUGGUGCGAAAGAAGCAGACUGGCACUGUGAGGGGGUGAAAGAACUUCCUUAUAAUAAUUACAUUUGUUUAUAUCUUCUUUUGCCCCUCAGUUUCUGCAUAAAAUAUGCGUGGUAAAAUGUCUUACUUGUUAACUAUCGUACAUAUAUACAUAUAUAUAGACAUACAUAUCUGAUGUGUGAUGUGUCCACAAUCUGUAUCUCCCUCUCGCUCCUUUGUAUCUAUGUAUCUUUUGCAUCUCCUGCUUGAUGGUGUCGCUACCGAAGGCAGGAAAACUUCAUUUCCGCAAAACUAACUUUUGUUUAACAUAACAAAUUGUCUUGUUUGCCUUUCGCAUAUCUGUGGGUGUGUGCGUUUCUAAGUGAUAGUUGAGCCCCACUCAACUAGAGCUAUAUAUAUGCGUGUGUGGGACGUGGGCGUGGCUGUUGACAGAUUUGCAUAGCCUCUGGAGAGAUAAAAGCUGGAAUAGUGGCGACAGGCAGGCACUGCUGCAUCUUUGGUCUCUUGGCCAUUUUUGUUAAAUUCAAUUUUCAAUUCGUUUUCUGUUCUCGAAAUAAAUUGGAUUUCGGCUCAAAAAAACCCUCAACAUAAAAAAAAAUGUAUAUAUAAAUAUAAUUGUAAAUUAAAUUCGUUACAUAAACGAAAAUGAAAGAGGAAUCCCCCUAAACCGGCCACAGCCUUGAAAUAAAACAAUACAAAAUCAACGGAAACACACACACACAGAUACAUAUGAGAAAGCGGAUGUGGAUUCAAGGAGUGGUAAAGGCAGAGAGGGGAGAGGCGGGACGAGGCGGGAUGGGGCUGGCCGGGGUACUCGUAUUCUAUGCCACGGGGUGAGCCACAAAAAUGUUUUCAUAUCAAAAAUGAAAUAAAACAAAAUCCUCGGUUGCCGCCGCCACCGCCGCAGCACCGCAUGCUCUUCAAUUACACUUUCGAUUUUCCGAUUCAUGCACAUAGAUACACAACACUAACACUCACACAAACAAACACACACGCACAUUGGAUACGAUACCACUCCAAAUCCAAGCGGCAAAUCUCGAAAUCGAAAAAAACAAACGGAAAAUCAAAUCCAAACACAAGCCAAGCGAAUGGAAGCGAAUGUCAGAAUAGGGAGAGAGGGGGAGAGAGGAAAAGGAAGAGGCAGCAAAUGAAAUUGUAUAAAAGGCAAGGCAGAAAAUUUAUUGCACAACGAGAAAACAACACAGCAAAAAAUGGCCACGCACCCAUUGCCACAGAAACACGCACACAGAGAGGGAGAGAGAGAGACACGGAAACAAAAGUUCAUUUUUUAUUCAAGACAUUUUUGAUACCCAAAGUCCCCAAUGAGAGCAAGAAUUCUUUAGGUUUUGCAGUUGAAAGUCCUAAAGAUUAGAAUUCAUCAUUUCAAUCUGUUUGUAGCCCCACGCACGCAUAUGCCACAUAUAACAGAUGAGAUUUAAUGCUAUAUUUACCCGAUAUCUAUCGCCAUCUCUCCCAAAAAUAUCUUGUUCUGCCUCACAUACGCAUAUUCAACAGCACCCCUGAAAGCACUGCCAUCGCUAGCCUCAGAUGUCGCUAUACGUUCGCUAAUUCUCUUCAAACUUCACAAAAAAAUAACCACUAAAAUAAAUGGAAAGUGUACGGCCGUUACUCCAUCGAGAGAGAGCAAAUCGUUCUUACACGGCCGUUACUCUCUCAAGAGAGAGCUUGUUCACUUUCUGUUUUGCUGCCAGCUUUCUCUCUCUCCCUCAAUCAGGUGAUCAAUGGAGUAAGACUAGCUCGGUUCCGUGUCUUUUUCUGAUCUUGUUCUGCCUAACCUGCUGCUAAUCUGCUGCUGCGACCGCAACUCUACAUUUAUACCCAAUACAUAGUCAGUAUGGCUACAUUCAGCGACAAAAAGGGAGUGCGAGAAACAGAAAAUAAUUCAGAACGUGUCGUUGGGCGCUGCGUAGCCACUGCAAAUUGAUUUGUUCGU